CGUCUAUAUACGUAUAGCAUAUCAAUAAGCGGAGGAAAAGAAACUAACUAGGAUUCCCUCAGUAACGGCGAGUGAAGCGGGAAGAGCUCAAAUUUGAAAUCUUCAAGGUUCUACCUUGACGAAUUGUAGUUUAAAGAAGUGUUUUCUGUUGGAAUUUUGGUAAAAGUUCUUUGGAAAUAGGACAUCAAUAGAGGGUGAGAAUCCCGUAUUUGACCAUUAUUUCCAGCUUUGUGAUACAUUUUCAAAGAGUCGGAUUGUUUGGGAAUGCAGUCCAAAAUGGGUGGUAAAUUUCAUCUAAAGCUAAAUAUUGGCGAGAGACCGAUAGCGAACAAGUACCGUGAGGGAAAGAUGAAAAGAACUUUGAAACGAGAGUUAAACAGUACGUGAAAUUGUCAAAAGGGAAGCGUUUGACACCAGUGUUGUUUUCUCGAAAAUCAAUUAAAAAUGGCUGGGAUUUUGUGUUGUAUUGACUUUAUCAGCUUUCUGCACUUUUUUCCUGUCUUUUUUAAUGCACUUUUCGUUUAACAAGUCAACAUCAAUUUCUUUUGUUGUAAAAGAGUCAUUGGAAGGUGGCUUUCUUUUCGGAGAAAGUGUUUAUAGCCUUUGACUUCUGCAAUCGGAGAGAUUGAGGUCUGCAGCGUAGAUCCUUCGGGGUUAGAUACGUAGAUGCUAAGUUAUAGCCUUUUCAUAGACAACUUGUUGACUAUAAUCAUCAUGUAGCUUACUCGCUUAUGGUAUUUUACCUACGCUUAGGAUGUUGACGAUCAGCUGAGCGCG
rnacentral:rRNA from 1 species